rnacentral:rRNA from 1 species
GACGAACGCUAGCGGGAGGCUUAACACAUGCAAGGUCGAGGGGCAGCAUAGGGUAGCAAUACUCUGAUGGCGACCGGCAAACGGGUGAGUAACGCGUAUGCAACCUACCCUGUACAGGGGGAUAACCCGGAGAAAUUCGGACUAAUAUCCCGUAAUAAUAUCCGGAGGCAUCUUUGGAUAUUUAAAGUUCCGACGGUACGGGAUGGGCAUGCGUAACAUUAACUGGUUGGUAAGGUAACGGCUUACCAAGGCUAUGAUGUUUAGGGGUCCUGAGAGGGUGGUCCCCCACACUGGUACUGAGACACGGACCAGACUCCUACGGGAGGCAGCAGUGAGGAAUAUUGGUCAAUGGGCGCAAGCCUGAACCAGCCAUCCCGCGUGCAGGAAGACGGCCCUAUGGGUUGUAAACUGCUUUUCCAGGGAGAGAAACUUACGCACGUGUUGCGUGACUGACGGUACCCUGGGAAUAAGCAUCGGCUAACUCCGUG